UCCAACCCUGUUUCCGGUUCGACCCGACUCACCCGACCCGAUCCAACCCAAAUCGUGCUACCCGGUAUGAUCCGUCUAAUAUCGGAUCCUUCCCUAAUCUUAUCCAUAGGGACAAAUCCAUUCUCUCUUCCGUCUGUUCUUCUGCUCCGACGAAAAUGCGAUAAGAUUUGUUGGGAUCCUCCAUUCUUGAACUUUAUCCUUCUCCCUCGGUGGUCGAUUGCAACAUCGGAAGGCUUGAAGUUGGAGCGGAGUAGACUGUGAUAUAAGCAGCUAGAUGUUUUAUUACUUCUUUCGUAUGCCAAAUUUAUAUUCACUUUCCUUUUUAGUCCGUCUGUUAAAUUUAUCUCAUUACUAAUUUUGGUAAAGUCAACAAAUCAACAUUUAAUUAUUAUAUUUCAUUCAAUACUUA